ensembl:snRNA
AUUUUUAAGGACAGUAGAGAGAUCAACAUUUCCCUUGUAAAGGAUAGUAAAGGCCUUCAGCCCUAUAGGACUCACGCAUGGUUAAGGCCUUGCCACAUUCUUGGUAUCAUCAAAAUAUGGUAUUUC